AUGUUUGCUUCAGCUCCACUGCUGCUGCUGGCUCUCACCCCCUAUGUACAUGGCAUCAGUCUGACCUUGUCUCCUGCUGAGGUUAAACCUCCGGUAGCCUCAGUGAAGUUGUCCUGUCAGAUUCCUGGGUAUGCCCUCACUAGCUACGGCACAAGCGGGAUCGGACAGCCUCCAGGAAAAGGCUUGGAGUGGAUCGGGAUCAUAUGGGGUGGUGGAAGCAUAAACUCUGGAGCUUCCUUUAAAACUCGCUUCAACAUCUCCAGAGACACGAGCAACAAUGUGCUUUACGUAGAUAUCAGCAGCCUGUUGCCAGAAGACACGGCUGUUUAUUACUGUGUAAAGACACACAGCUGUACACCUCACUGGGGACUGAACAAAAAUUAAACCUCACAUAUGUGUAAAGUUAAUUUUAAGUUAAAACCUAAAAAGUACAAUUUAUGGAAAUCCAUCACAUCCUAUAUACAUAAAGAAAUAUUAAAUGAUUAUAGAGAAGAUUAAAGCACAGUAAAUAAUGAAUAGAUAGAAACAUCCGAUCAAACAUUUCACUAGUAGUGCAAAUUAUUUAGCUUUUUCACAGAAAAUGAAAUUUUCCUGAAUGUUUGACUGUACAUAUUUACAUUUAGGUUUUGUAUACUUAUAUAUCUGCACAUUAUGAUUUCCAUUAUGCUUUAAGUCCUCUGAGAGGCACUCUUUCUCUACUUACACAACAUCCACUCAACAUGUUGAGGUUAAAAAAACUGAGAGAUUAAAAGGACUGAGAGAGGACUGAUGUCCUCCUGGGAUUUCCAUCACCGUCAUAAAAUGUAUUUACAACAUUAAUUAAAAACUAAGACAUUACAGAUCUGUUAUAACCAUGUCUUAA